GACGAACGCUGGCGGCGUGCCUAACACAUGCAAGUCGAGCGGAGAAUUCAGCAAUGGAUUCUUAGCGGCGGACGGGUGAGUAACGCGUGGGCAACCUGCCUCAUACAGGGGGAUAACACUGGGAAACUAGUGCUAAUACCGCAUAACAUCACGAUGAGACAUCUUGUUGUGAUCAAAGGAGAAAUCCGGUAUGAGAUGGGCCCGCGUCCGAUUAGCUAGUUGGUGAGGUAAUGGCUCACCAAGGCGACGAUCGGUAGCCGAACUGAGAGGUUGAUCGGCCACAUUGGGACUGAGACACGGCCCAGACUCCUACGGGAGGCAGCAGUGGGGAAUAUUGCGCAAUGGGGGAAACCCUGACGCAGCAACGCCGCGUGAAGGAUGAAGGUUUUCGGAUUGUAAACUUCUUUGAUUGGGGACGAAAAAAAUGACGGUACCCAAAAAACAAGCCACGGCUAACUACGUGCCAGCAGCCGCGGUAAUACGUAGGUGGCAAGCGUUGUCCGGAAUUACUGGGUGUAAAGGGCGUGUAGGCGGGAUUGCAAGUCAGAUGUGAAAUUCCGGAGCUCAACUUCGGAGCUGCAUCUGAAACUACAAUUCUUGAGUGCUGGAGAGGAGAGCGGAAUUCUUGGUGUAGCGGUGAAAUGCGUAGAUAUCAAGAAGAACACCAGUGGCGAAGGCGGCUCUCUGGAAUGUAACUGACGCUGAGGCACGAAAGCUGGGGGAGCAAACAGGAUUAGAUACCCUGGUAAUCCCAGCCCUAAACGGUGUACAUUUGUUGUUGGCGGAUUUGACCCCGCCAGUGACGGAGCUAACGCGUUAAAUGUACCGCCUGGGGAGUACGGCCGCAAGGCUAAAACUCAAAGAAAUUGACGGGGGCCCGCACAAGCGGAGGAGCAUGUGGCUUAAUUCGAUGCAACGCGAAGAACCUUACCUGGGCUUGACAUGCAGCUGCAGUCUCGGUGAAAGCCGAGAGGCCUUCGAGGGUGCUGCACAGGUGCUGCAUGGCUGUCGUCAGUUCGUGCCGUGAGGUGUUUGGUUAAGUCCNGCAACGAACGCAACCCUUGUGUUUAGUUGCCACCCCCGAUGAUGAGUCGGGGAGCACUCUAGACAGACUGCNNGUGUAAGCGGGAGGAAGGUGGGGAUGACGUCAAGUCAGUAUGGCCCUUACGCCCAGGGCUGCACACGUGCUACAAUGGAAGUUACAGAAGGAUGCGAGACCGCGAGGUGGAGCAAAUCCUGAAAGCUUCCUCAGUUCAGAUUGGAGUCUGCAACUCGACUCCAUGAAGUCGGAUUCGCUAGUAAUGGCGCAUCAUCAUACGGCCGUGAAUACGUUCCCGGGCCUUGUACACACCGCCCGUGCAACACCCGAAGUCUGUGCCCCUGGAAGUUGCGCUGUGAACCGCAAGGAGGGCCCUCGCCUAGGUAAAGCUGGUAACUUAGGGCUAAGUCGUAACAAGGUAGCCGUACCGGAAGGUGCGGCUGGAACACCUCCUUU
rnacentral:rRNA from 1 species